rnacentral:rRNA from 1 species
GACGUAGGUGGCGAACGUUAUCCGGAAUUAUUGGGCGUAAAGGAUGCGUAGAUGGUGUAGUAAGUUAUCGGUGGCAAAUCGAGGCUCAACCUCGUGGAAGUCGGUAAUACUGCUAUGCUAGAGGAUAGGAGAGGUUAACGGAACUCCCUGUGGAGCGGUGAAAUGCGUAGAUAUAGGGAAGAACACCAAUCAGGCGAAGGCAGUUUAACUAUUCUAUUCCUGACAUUGAAGGCAUGGAAAGCGAUGGGGAGCAAAACGGG